AGACGUGCUGUCACUGACGCAAGAGCAGGGAGCAUUGUCCCUUGUGAAAUCGUCGAUAGCGUCUGCAGGUAGUGGAUAUACACAGUGCUCCUGUCGUGGCUUUUCACCAGCCGGGCAUGCGCUAAUGGCUAGGCCAUAAAGCGAGGAGGCGGCUGGCUGACACCUAGACUUUGUGACGCUUGGGGCCAUACUACGGAGUAGUUCCCCAUUCAAUUACCCAAACAACGAUGUGCAAUGACCAUUUUGAUUAACUCUCUUUACUGAUCAAAGAAAAUAAAGUCUGGAACUGAGAAUGGACGAG
rnacentral:sRNA from 2 species